rnacentral:misc_RNA from 1 species
CAGAGUUGUAAAACUCCCAAACCAUUGUGAACAUACCUAUGUUGCCUCGGCGGCCUGCCUGGCAAGCUGCUUCUGUGGCUGCCGCGCGGUCCGCCGGUGGAAUAUAAACUCUUGUUUUUUUGUAUCUCUGAGAAAACUUUUAAAUAAGUCA